AACGAACGUUAGCGGCGCGCCUAACACAUGCAAGUCGAGCGAGAAGGGAGCAAUCCCAGUAAAGCGGCGCACGGGUGAGUAACACGUAGGUAAUCUACCUCGAGGUGGUGGAUAACCUUCCGAAAGGAGGGCUAAUACAGCAUGAGACCACGUCUUCGCAAGAGGAUGAGGUUAAAGCGGGUCACUACAAGUAAACUACGCGCCACGAGAUGAGCCUGCGGCCCACUCAUGGUAGUUGGUAGGGUAACGGCCUACCAAGCCGAAGACGGGUAGCUGGUCUGAGAGGAUGAUCAGCCACACUGGAACUGAGACACGGUCCAGACUCCUACGGGAGGCAGCAGUGGGGAAUCUUGCGCAAUGGGCGAAAGCCUGACGCAGCGACGCCGCGUGAGUGAUGAAGGCCU
rnacentral:rRNA from 1 species